UACGUAGGGGGCGAGCGUUGUCCGGAGUUACUGGGCGUAAAGAGCGUGUAGGCGGUUAGAAAAGUCAUGUGUGAAAUCUCUCGGCUCAACCGGGAAAUUGCGCCUGAAACUUUCUGACUGGAGUUUGGGAGGGGUAACCGGAAUUCCUGGUGUAACGGUGAAAUGUGUAGAUAUCAGGAGGAACACCCGUGGCGAAGGCGGGUUACUGGACCAAAACUGACGCUGAGACGCGAAAGCGUGGGGAGCAAAC
rnacentral:rRNA from 1 species